AUUGAACGCUGGCGGCAUGCCUAACACAUGCAAGUCGAACGGUAACAGGCCCUUCGGGGUGCUGACGAGUGGCGGAUGGGUGAGUAAUACUUAGGAAUCUACCCUGUAGUGGGGGACAACCCGGGGAAACUCGGGCUAAUACCGCAUACGCUCUACGGAGGAAAGCGGGGACCGCAAGGCCUCGCGCUAUUGGAUGAGCCUAAGCCCGAUUAGCUAGUUGGUGGGGUAAUGGCCACCAAGGCAAUGAUCGGUAGCUGGUCUGAGAGGACGACCAGCCACACUGGGACUGAGACACGGCCCAGACUCCUACGGGAGGCAGCAGUGGGGAAUAUUGGACAAUGGGCGAAAGCCUGAUCCAGCGAUGCCGCGUGUGUAGAAGAAGG
rnacentral:rRNA from 1 species